rnacentral:lncRNA from 1 species
CUCUUAGGACAAGAAGAGAUAUCAAAGUACAUCACUAAGCAUUUAUUAAGCACCUGGUGUUAUGCUCUGAAGAUACCAAAAAAAGCAAAACCAAACCAAACCCAAAUCCAAUACUCGCUCUCAAAGAGCUCACGGUCUGGACAGGAGGAUCUGAGUUCAAAUCAGACUAUUACUAGUUAUUUGACCUCGGGCAAGUCAUUUAAUUUUUGUUUGCCUCAGUUUCCUCAUCUGAAUAGUACCUACCCCCCACCCCAGGUGUUAUGAGGAUCAAAGAAGAUAAAAUUGUAAAGUGCUUCACACAAUGCCUGGCUCAUCAGGACUAUAUAAAUGUUGGCUACUAUUAUUGUUGCUGUUGUUAUAUGCAAACAUCAGUGUGUAAACAUGAUACAGACAGGAUAAAUUGAAGACAGCCAGCUGGCCUAUCCCUUUCUCUCUGAGUACGGCUGUAUUUUAUUAAACUCUGAAAAAAGCACUAAAGUAUGAUCACUUAAUUUUCAUACCAAAGAGAAAAAUAUCCCUUUUCCCAGAAUCAUUAAUACCAAUGCUUUCCCCUUGAUUAGCUCCAGAAAUUCCUGACCCUGGGCAAUGUCAAGGCCUGUGGAUCUGUAACUCAGACUGCAGCGGUGUUCAGCGAGCAUCUUGAUCUGUCCUGGGACAGCCAGAAAGUCAAACAGAAUCUGAAAUAUGAGAGACACCGGCCACUCCAGUUGGAUAGACUCCAUGCAGAAGUGGCUCUAGAGAAUAUCUUCUUGACCUCCUGCCCCAAGCAAAACUUCCUGGGAGAAAUAGAAACUAACUACUUCAACCAUCUCAGCCAUUCUCUCAGACUGGGACUCUGUAAUCUUUCCAGUGCUGUUGUGAUCUCUGGAGAACACCUGCUCAACCAAGGUAGUUUCAUGCUACAGUCCAGGGGCCUACUCCGCCUUGCCCCAGACCCUGGGGACGGUUUGGUGCUGGUCUUGACCCUCAGGAACCACAGUACUCCAAAGACUCAAGACUUCUCUGGAGAGCUAGAGCUGAGGGCACCAGGAGAUCAGCAAGUAAGCCUGCUGGGAAGAGUCACUGAAUCAGCCUCUCAGAGUGUAGUCCUGCUACAGGGAAGCAUGGAAAGAGAGGAAAAGUUGGAGUUGACAGCUUCCCGAGCCCCAGACUGUCUCUGGGCUUACCUGGCAUAUGGAAAAGGGACAAAGGAGGAGGGUGUGGAGAUCAGUGCCUGCUCUGAUGGAAGGCAGGUGGCCAAGGCUGAGGCCGUGCUUCGUGUUAGUGGUGGGCAAAAUGAACACUUGGGCCAGCUGGUUCUCAGGGCCGCCAACCAGAGUCUGAGCCUGGCUGCACAUGGCUGCAUCACCCCCAUUGGGAAUAUGGAGUCCAAACUGGCCGAGGUUGGCUCUCACCUACAAGCCAGACUCGUGGAGAAGUUCCAGCUGUUUGACACCUACCUCCAGAAGUUCCGGGACGUGGUGCAUCAGAUUGACUUCCUGGACGGUGCAGCUGGCUGGGUCCUGCAGAUGUCCCAGGCUGCUGUGAGAGCACUCCAGGCAGGGGGUAGAGCAGCAGCUGGACUAUGGAGGCAAAGCUCAGCCAGGCAGGUGCUGAGACAUCACCUCCCCCUGCACCUGGAGAGACUCCAGACCGUUAUGGAACAGACACAGAGUGAGCUGCAAAAGCCAUUAGCCACGCUGAAGGAUGCCUACUACGAGGUCACACUCAAACCCCUGGAUGAGGUGUGGCAGGAGAGGACUGAGGAGGCUAUGAAGAGGAUGCAGGCCUAUGUGCCCUCAGGGAUGAAGGACACUUGGCUCAUGAGGCCAAUCCUGCUGUCUCUACAAGCUGUGAAGGGUGCCCUAGAUCUGGCUGCCCACCAGAUACUGAAGUGGGCAGAAGCCAAGUUCUCCAGAGCAAUACGAAGAAUACGGAAACCUUUGUCCAGUAUUUACAGCUUCUCUGCGAGGAACUGCUCUGUGGUGGUAAGGCUUCCAGUGCUGCCAGGAGGGAUCAGCCAAUGGACUUGGCCAAGGUAA